AUGCCAGUGCAAUUCCAAUGCCAUUUAUUCCACAGGGAAAGCCCAGGGAGGGGAUGCUCCUUUCAGGAGAGCUGCAGGCUGCGGGUCUGCACUCAAGGCCAGGUCGUUGAUUGCUGUGGAUUCAAACACGGAUUGCUCUUGGGCACAUCACACACCCAGCUCUGGGUUAUGCAGAACUGCUGCACUUUCCAUUUUCGGUGUAUUUUGGAGUUUCAGAACAAAUUACAGCUGCCUCUUUUCUAUCAGACCCCUGUGUCUGGAAUACCAGUGCAAUUCCAAUGCCAUUUAUUCCACAGGGAGGGGAUGCUCCUUUCCCUGACCAGGAGAGCUGCAGGCUCUGGGUCUGCACUCAAGGCCAGGUCACUGCUGUGGAUUCAAACACGGAUUGCUCUUGGCCAUGUCAAUGAGUCGAGAACACCCAGCUCUGGGUUAUGCAGAGCUGCUGCACUUUCCAUUUUCGGUGUAUUUUGGCGUUUCAGAGCAAAUUACAGCCGCCUCUUUUCUAUCAGACCCUGUAUCUGGAAUACCAGUGCAAUUCCAAUGCCAUUUAUUCCACAGGGAGAGCCCAGGGAGGGGAUGCUCCUUUCAGGAGAGCUGCAGGCUCUGGGUCUGCACUCAAGGCCAGGUCACUGCUGUGGAUCCAAACACGGAUUGCUCUUGGCCAUGUCAAUGAGUCGAGCACACCCAGCGCUGGGUUAUGCAGAGCUGCUGCACUUUCCAUUUAUAGUGUAUUUUGGAGUUUCAGAACAAAUUACAGCUGCUUCUUUUCUAUCAGACCCCUGUGUCCUGGCUUAGCCUGCUCCCCUCUCCUCAAAGCCUGGGUACAAAUCACCCGGUGAUCCUGACUGCUAAUGAAACCUGGAUUAAAUUAGCGUGCCGCUCAGUUGUCAGUGUUCUCAGUGGGUUUAUCUCCCUGUGGGAUCUCAG
rnacentral:lncRNA from 1 species